GGGCUUGUGGUUUAGUGGUAUAAUACUCCCUUAGCAUCUCGCAGCUUCUUCGAGGCCUGACGGAAUACGAAUGGGAGUGGUCCAGGGUUCGAUUCCCUGCAAGUCCA